UACGGAGGAUGCGAGCGUUAUCCGGAUUUAUUGGGUUUAAAGGGAGCGUAGACGGGUUUUUAAGUCAGCUGUGAAAGUUUGGGGCUCAACCUUAAAAUUGCAGUUGAAACUGGAGACCUUGAGUACGGUUGAGGCAGGCGGAAUUCGUGGUGUAGCGGUGAAAUGCUUAGAUAUCACGAAGAACCCCGAUUGCGAAGGCAGCCUGCUAAGCCGCCACUGACGUUGAGGCUCGAAAGUGCGGGUAUCAAACAGG
rnacentral:rRNA from 1 species